AGUGAACGCUGGCGGUAGGCCUAACACAUGCAAGUCGAACGGCAGCACAGUAAGAGCUUGCUCUUACGGGUGGCGAGUGGCGGACGGGUGAGGAAUACAUCGGAAUCUACUUUUUCGUGGGGGAUAACGUAGGGAAACUUACGCUAAUACCGCAUACGACCUACGGGUGAAAGCAGGGGAUCUUCGGACCUUGCGCGAAUGAAUGCGCCGAUGUCGGAUUAGCUAGUUGGCGGGGUAAAGGCCCACCAAGGCGACGAUCCGUAGCUGGUCUGAGAGGAUGAUCAGCCACACUGGAACUGAGACACGGUCCAGACUCCUACGGGAGGCAGCAGUGGGGAAUAUUGGACAAUGGGCGCAAGCCUGAUCCAGCCAUACCGCGUGGGUGAAGAAGGCCUUCGGGUUGUAAAGCCCUUUUGUUGGGAAAGAAAAGCAGCAGGUUAAUACCCCGCUGUUCUGACGGUACCCAAAGAAUAAGCACCGGCUAACUUCGUG
rnacentral:rRNA from 1 species